rnacentral:lncRNA from 1 species
ACCUGUGUUGCUCUCACCAAUUUCCCACCUCAAGCAGCCCUGAGGUGACUACUGAAGAGGGAGGGCAGUGAUCUCACAAUAGGUCUUAUGAUGUCAGACUUUCUGUAACCUGUGAACUCUGCCUCCAGGCUACUAGAGCUGCUGUUGCCCCAGAAGCUCCCACAUCACACCUCUCUCCAGUUGAGCCAGUGUGAAGGCUCUACUUUGUCUCUACCAUGUUUUAUAUUUGGUUUCUUACUGUUGUGUUGGUAGGAAGGUGUGCGAGGUUGAGAAAGCUCAUAGGAACAAUAUAUGAUUUGAAUGAAGAAGAGAAAGGAGAAGAAAGAAAAAAUAUCUUGAGAAGUCCAAAUGACUGGGUCAAGAGAGUGAUGUCAAACCAAGCCCAGAAAUUCGGUUAUCGUGGACUCAAUAUCAUCCAUCAUUUAUCUCCUCCGAAAACAAGAAGUUUGGAACCACAAGAGUGAAGAAGUUGUCAGUGAAGCUGAUGGCUCUCUUGAUGUGCCACCAUCAAUAUUUACAUCUGGAGAAGACUGAAGGUUUGUGUAUUCAGAGCCAGCCACGACAAGACUGCUGGGUACUCAUGCACACAGGCAAUAUCAACAACGGGAGGGAAUUGUAAACAUGCAGCAUUCAUACAUGUGCAAGUAAUUUUAGAUAACAGGCCAUGGGAAAGUUCUUUCUUUAAUCUCAGGAAAAUAAAUGAAUCUUGAAAGUUUCUCUGGAUAUUCGAGAGGUGUAAAAUUUACCACAGGGAAGGCCUUGAAACCCAUGAGUAACACAGAAAACCAAUGGACGUGAGAAGCAAUUGGAGGUUUCUGUUUAUAAUUUUAUGACAGCUUCUCUAUGUCACUAUAAUGAACAGAGUAUGGUUCAAAUUUCAGUGUGAGGAAGUUUAAAGGACACAAAUGCAACUCAAUCCAUCAUUUACACACUGAAGGGCUUUUGAAAAUAAAACCAUAUGCAGUAAAUUUUUAUGUACCAGCAUGACAGAGGUAGUGUAGAUAUUAAUAAGCCAUCUCCUGGCCAACAAGGAAGCAUGCACACAAAUAAUAUUGAACAACUUCAAGGGAUGCCUUAAGUUGAGCUGUAAAGAUCAUGGAAG